AAUCCUACGGGGCGCAGCAGUGAGGAAUAUUGGUCAAUGGUCGGGAGACUGGACCAUCCAAGCCGCGUGAGGGAGGAAGGUACAGAGUAUCGUAAACCUCUUUUGUCAGGGGACAAAGACUGGGACGCGUCCCCGGAUGAGUGUACCUGAAGAAAAAGCAUCGGCUAACUCCGUGCCAGCAGCCGCGGUAAUACGGAGGAUGCGAGCGUUAUCCGGAUUUAUUGGGUUUAAAGGGUGCGCAGGCGGUCUGUUAAGUCAGCAGUCAAAGCCCGGGGCUCAACCCCGGCCCGCCGUUGAAACUGGCG
rnacentral:rRNA from 1 species